rnacentral:lncRNA from 1 species
GGAAAUGUAGUAGAGAAGUGGUGAUCCAGGCAGGAAGUGACAUAGCAAAGAGACUCAUAUUUAAGCAAGGACAAACAGGAAGCCCCCCCUUUUCCCCUUCGCGUCCUCCAGCGGUGCCUUGUGAUCCACCGGCAAGAGAGGGUGCUAGCGGAAGGCAUCCUCUAUAAGAUGAUUCUUAUAAAAUAUAUAGAUUUAUGAUAAUUAAGACUGAGCUAACAGAUGAGAAAUCCUAGUCAUUGGCCAAGCAGCAUUCAGGACCACUGGAAGAGACCAAGUGGCUGAGUUCAGGCUGUCGUUCAGACUGACCCCAAUGCUUCAUCUUGAAAUUCUCAUGUUGUGGUGAUUGCUUCAAGCACUUUAAUGAACACGGCAUAGUGGGGAGCAGAUGAAAUCCUAGUGAAUGUGUAC